rnacentral:rRNA from 1 species
UACGUAGGGGGCAAGCGUUAUCCGGAUUUACUGGGUGUAAAGGGAGCGUAGACGGCGGAGCAAGUCUGAAGUGAAAGCCCGGGGCUCAACCCCGGGACUGCUUUGGAAACUGUUCUGCUAGAGUGCUGGAGAGGUAAGUGGAAUUCCUAGUGUAGCGGUGAAAUGCGUAGAUAUUAGGAGGAACACCAGUGGCGAAGGCGGCUUACUGGACAGUAACUGACGUUGAGGCUCGAAAGCGUGGGGAG